CCAUGAAGAAACUGAGCAAGAUGGCAGGC
rnacentral:piRNA from 1 species